rnacentral:misc_RNA from 1 species
UACGAAGGGGGCUAGCGUUGUUCGGAAUUACUGGGCGUAAAGCGCGCGCAGGCGGUUUCUUAAGUCAGGGGUGAAAGCCCAGAGCUCAACUCUGGAAUUGCCUCUGAAACUAGGGAACUUGGGUACGGGAGAGGUGAGUGGAAUUCCGAGUGUAGAGGUGAAAUUCGUAGAUAUUCGGAAGAACACCAGUGGCGAAGGCGGCUCACUGGCCCGUUACCGACGCUCAGGCGCGACAGCGUGGGGAGCAAACAGG